rnacentral:rRNA from 1 species
UUAAGCGACUAAGCGUACACGGUGGAUGCCCUGGCAGUCAGAGGCGAUGAAGGACGUGCUAAUCUGCGAUAAGCGUCGGUAAGGUGAUAUGAACCGUUAUAACCGGCGAUUUCCGAAUGGGGAAACCCAGUGUGAUUCGUCACACUAUCAUUAACUGAAUCCAUAGGUUAAUGAGGCGAACCGGGGGAACUGAAACAUCUAAGUACCCCGAGGAAAAGAAAUCAACCGAGAUUCCCCCAGUAGCGGCGAGCGAACGGGGAGCAGCCCAGAGCCUGAAUCAGUGUGUGUGUUAGUGGAAGCGUCUGGAAAGGCGUGCGAUACAGGGUGACUGCCCCGUACACAAAAAUGCACAUGCUGUGAGCUCGAUGAGUAGGGCGGGACACGUGGUAUCCUGUCUGAAUAUGGGGGGGACCAUCCUCCAAGGCUAAAUACUCCUGACUGACCGAUAGUGAACCAGUACCGUGAGGGAAAGGCGAAAAGAACCCCGGCGAGGGGAGUGAAAAAGAACCUGAAACCGUGUACGUACAAGCAGUGGGAGCACGUACGUGUGACUGCGUACCUUUUGUAUAAUGGGUCAGCGACUUAUAUUCUGUAGCAAGGUUAACCGAAUAGGGGAGCCGAAGGGAAACCGAGUCUUAACUGGGCGUUAAGUUGCAGGGUAUAGACCCGAAACCCGGUGAUCUAGCCAUGGGCAGGUUGAAGGUUGGGUAACACUAACUGGAGGACCGAACCGACUAAUGUUGAAAAAUUAGCGGAUGACUUGUGGCUGGGGGUGAAAGGCCAAUCAAACCGGGAGAUAGCUGGUUCUCCCCGAAAGCUAUUUAGGUAGCGCCUCGUGAAUUCAUCUCCGGGGGUAGAGCACUGUUUCGGCAAGGGGGUCAUCCCGACUUACCAACCCGAUGCAAACUGCGAAUACCGGAGAAUGCUAUCACGGGAGACACACGGCGGGUGCUAACGUCCGUCGUGAAGAGGGAAACAACCCAGACCGCCAGCUAAGGUCCCAAAGUCAUGGUUAAGUGGGAAACGAUGUGGGAAGGCCCAGACAGCCAGGAUGUUGGCUUAGAAGCAGCCAUCAUUUAAAGAAAGCGUAAUAGCUCACUGGUCGAGUCGGCCUGCGCGGAAGAUGUAACGGGGCUAAACCAUGCACCGAAGCUGCGGCAGCGACGCUUAUGCGUUGUUGGGUAGGGGAGCGUUCUGUAAGCCUGCGAAGGUGUGCUGUGAGGCAUGCUGGAGGUAUCAGAAGUGCGAAUGCUGACAUAAGUAACGAUAAAGCGGGUGAAAAGCCCGCUCGCCGGAAGACCAAGGGUUCCUGUCCAACGUUAAUCGGGGCAGGGUGAGUCGACCCCUAAGGCGAGGCCGAAAGGCGUAGUCGAUGGGAAACAGGUUAAUAUUCCUGUACUUGGUGUUACUGCGAAGGGGGGACGGAGAAGGCUAUGUUGGCCGGGCGACGGUUGUCCCGGUUUAAGCGUGUAGGCUGGUUUUCCAGGCAAAUCCGGAAAACUAAGGCUGAGGCGUGAUGACGAGGCACUACGGUGCUGAAGCAACAAAUGCCCUGCUUCCAGGAAAAGCCUCUAAGCAUCAGGUAACAUCAAAUCGUACCCCAAACCGACACAGGUGGUCAGGUAGAGAAUACCAAGGCGCUUGAGAGAACUCGGGUGAAGGAACUAGGCAAAAUGGUGCCGUAACUUCGGGAGAAGGCACGCUGAUAUGUAGGUGAAGUCCCUCGCGGAUGGAGCUGAAAUCAGUCGAAGAUACCAGCUGGCUGCAACUGUUUAUUAAAAACACAGCACUGUGCAAACACGAAAGUGGACGUAUACGGUGUGACGCCUGCCCGGUGCCGGAAGGUUAAUUGAUGGGGUUAGCGCAAGCGAAGCUCUUGAUCGAAGCCCCGGUAAACGGCGGCCGUAACUAUAACGGUCCUAAGGUAGCGAAAUUCCUUGUCGGGUAAGUUCCGACCUGCACGAAUGGCGUAAUGAUGGCCAGGCUGUCUCCACCCGAGACUCAGUGAAAUUGAACUCGCUGUGAAGAUGCAGUGUACCCGCGGCAAGACGGAAAGACCCCGUGAACCUUUACUAUAGCUUGACACUGAACAUUGAGCCUUGAUGUGUAGGAUAGGUGGGAGGCUUGGAAGUGUGGACGCCAGUCUGCAUGGAGCCGACCUUGAAAUACCACCCUUUAAUGUUUGAUGUUCUAACGUUGACCCGUGAUCCGGGUUGCGGACAGUGUCUGGUGGGUAGUUUGACUGGGGCGGUCUCCUCCUAAAGAGUAACGGAGGAGCACGAAGGUUGGCUAAUCCUGGUCGGACAUCAGGAGGUUAGUGCAAUGGCAUAAGCCAGCUUGACUGCGAGCGUGACGGCGCGAGCAGGUGCGAAAGCAGGUCAUAGUGAUCCGGUGGUUCUGAAUGGAAGGGCCAUCGCUCAACGGAUAAAAGGUACUCCGGGGAUAACAGGCUGAUACCGCCCAAGAGUUCAUAUCGACGGCGGUGUUUGGCACCUCGAUGUCGGCUCAUCACAUCCUGGGGCUGAAGUAGGUCCCAAGGGUAUGGCUGUUCGCCAUUUAAAGUGGUACGCGAGCUGGGUUUAGAACGUCGUGAGACAGUUCGGUCCCUAUCUGCCGUGGGCGCUGGAGAACUGAGGGGGGCUGCUCCUAGUACGAGAGGACCGGAGUGGACGCAUCACUGGUGUUCGGGUUGUCAUGCCAAUGGCACUGCCCGGUAGCUAAAUGCGGAAGAGAUAAGUGCUGAAAGCAUCUAAGCACGAAACUUGCCCCGAGAUGAGUUCUCCCUGACUCCUUGAGAGUCCUGAAGGAACGUUGAAGACGACGACGUUGAUAGGCCGGGUGUGUAAGCGCAGCGAUGCGUUGAGCUAACCGGUACUAAUGAACCGUGAGGCUUAACCUU